rnacentral:rRNA from 1 species
AGUGAACGCUGGCGGUAGGCCUAACACAUGCAAGUCGAACGGCAGCACAGGAGAGCUUGCUCUCUGGGUGGCGAGUGGCGGACGGGUGAGGAAUACAUCGGAAUCUACUCUGUCGUGGGGGAUAACGUAGGGAAACUUACGCUAAUACCGCAUACGACCUACGGGUGAAAGCAGGGGACCUUCGGGCCUUGCGCGAUUGAAUGAGCCGGUGUCGGAUUAGCUAGUUGGCGGGGUAAAGGUCCACCAAGGCGACGAUCCGUAGCUGGUCUGAGGGGAUGAUCAGCCACACUGGAACUGUGACACGGUCCAGAGUCCGACGGGAGGCAGCAGUGGGGAAUAUUGUACAAUGGGCGCAAGCCUGAGCCAGCCAUACCGCGUGGGUGAAGAAGGCCUUCGGGUUGUAAAGCCCUUUUGUUGGGAAAGAAAUCCAGCUGGCUAAUACCCGGUUGGGGUGACGGUACCCAAAGAAUAAGCACCGGCUAACUUCGUGCCAGCCGCCGCCGUAA